UUCCGCAGCUGCUGGUCUGCAGCUGUUCCGGUGGUGGCAAUUGUGGCAUUGCUCUGUGUGAGAGGAAUUGUUACAUGAUUAAACACCUCUUUCUUAGCAAAACAGAAAAUGAGCAUGUGUGUGACCAACACAA